rnacentral:lncRNA from 1 species
CACCCCAGAAUUCCCUGCCUCCGUGCAUGUUAUGGCACCUUUGGGAUGUGUUAGUCAUAAGAAUGAAGCUACUGGUGCUUUGCAGGGAUAUUUUCACUCUGGCUCUCGCAGGAGAGCUCUGACACAGCCCUGCUGUCGGCACGGCUGGGGCGCCUUUGCUCGCUGGUGCCUCCUGAGAUUCCAGACCGCUCCAAAAAAAAAGGGGGAAACGUCCAAUUUUUAUUUCCUCAGGGAACACCAAGAAAAUUUUUCUUUCCGAGCCUGUCUCCUGAAACGAGCUCCAGGAGUGGUCACAACCUGCCAUAAAAAUGCCAUGUGCAAGAGAAUAUAUUUAAUAUCAGGCAAGCAGAAUGGAACGAUACGAUCUGUUUGGGGUUCGAAGCAAUCCCAGCUCUGAUGCCCCUCACAGGGACAGACCCCAAAGGACACCAAGCCACCACUAAAGAACCAGCAGGGUCUUGAAUCAGGAUUUUGGGGUGGUUUUGGUGUCACUUCCACUCUGACCGACCCUGCCAGUGCAUCCUCAGCCGAGGAAUUCAGGUGGACAAACUCUGGGCACACAUUCCUGGGAGAGGCAGGACCAACCUGAGCUGGCAAAAUCAGCCUUUAGAGGAACAUCCUGAAACCUUUCCAGUGGGAAUCAAAGAGCCUCUCUUUUAAUUAGCUCCAGGUAUGUGUUUGACAGCAAAGAAGUUGUCAGGCUGCUGUAGCAGACCUCGUGUUUCAGGUUGAGGGGAAUCACCUCCAGCCUGAGAGUAAAACAUCCACAGUAGUGCAGGAUGCUUCACAUUCCCUGGAAGAAAGCUCCUCUUUAUCUUCUCUGGCUCUAACUCUUGAAGCAUUUCCUAAUCCCAGGCAAUCUGGAGCACUGGGAAAUGCAGGGUUUUGAGACAGGCAAUGGGCAAAUGCUCAGAGAGAGAAAGAAAAACGCUUUUUCCAUUUUCCCCUCAAACUUUAUUAGUUAAACCAAGCUGACAAUGAGCUGAAUUUUAUUCACUCCCCAAAUAUGAAUAGAAAGACACCCAGCCACACAAACCAGCUGAUAGAAUUGACAUUUUUUGGGGUUCAUCUGCCAUGAAGAUCUCCUAUGACCUCUUUCCCAAUUCCUGUUAACACAAAUGCUGACUAUUUUCACACUUGUGCAGACAGCAGCCCCCAGAACCAAUAAUCACAAACCCACCCCUCAACACCCUCAGUCUUGGACUUUCCAGCUGGGCUCUGCUUUCCAAACCCUGAACAAUCAGCUGAGCUCAUUUGCACAUUUUCCCAACCUAAUUAGCCCUCGCUAUGAUGAAGAUCAUGAAGAUUUUUGUUCUGGCUAAUAAUAGUUGUACUUUAUCUCACUUUGCCUUUUAACUAAGCAUGUCCUAAUUGUGUAUUUACAUUUGCUGGCAUGU